rnacentral:rRNA from 1 species
GACGAACGCUGGCGGCGUGCCUAAUACAUGCAAGUAGAACGCUGAAGGAGGAGCUUGCUUCUCUGGAUGAGUUGCGAACGGGUGAGUAACGCGUAGGUAACCUGCCUGGUAGCGGGGGAUAACUAUUGGAAACGAUAGCUAAUACCGCAUAAUAGCAGUUGUUGCAUGACAACUGUUUGAAAGGUGCAAUUGCACCACUACCAGAUGGACCUGCGUUGUAUUAGCUAGUUGGUGGGGUAACGGCUCACCGAGGCGACGAUACAUAGCCGACCUGAGAGGGUGAUCGGCCACACUGGGACUGAGACACGGCCCAGACUCCUACGGGAGGCAGCAGUAGGGAAUCUUCGGCAAUGGACGGAAGUCUGACCGAGCAACGCCGCGUGAGUGAAGAAGGUUUUCGGAUCGUAAAGCUCUGUUGUAAGAGAAGAACGAGUGUGAGAGUGGAAAGUUCACACUGUGACGGUAUCUUACCAGAAAGGGACGGCUAACUACGUG